AUUGAACGCUGGCGGCAGGCCUAACACAUGCAAGUCGAGCGAGCGGCGGGCGGGUGAGUACUAUGUGUGGGCUGCCCGAGAGGGGGGGGGAACUACUGGGGACGGUAGCUCAUACCGCAUACUCUCGGAUAACGCCUAUGUGGUUAGCUAGUGGGGGGGGUAAUGGCUCACCUAGGCGACGAUCCCUAGCUGGUCUGAGAGGAUGAUCAGCCACACUGGAACUGAGACACGGCCCAGACUCCUACGGAGGCAGCAGUGGGGAAUAUUGCACAAUGGGCGCAAGCCUGAUGCAGCCAUGCCGCGUGUAUGAAGAAGGCCUUAGGGUUGUAAAGUACUUUCAGUCGGGAGGCGUUACCGACAGAAGAAGCACCGGCUAACUCCGUGCCAGCAGCCGCGGUAAUAC
rnacentral:rRNA from 1 species